UGGGCCAACGGCUUUGCGCUGCCGGGAGAAAGUUGCCUCUGUCUCCAAACCUCAUGCUGAGUUUACUCCAACUUGGGAAGGAUUAAAGGUGGCUGUCGUUAAAUUUAAAGCACCCUAUGCAUAAAUGGUUGGAAGGGGACUCUGCAACCGUGAUGGUAUCGAUAAAUGGUUCAGCGAAAGCGCCUGGUUUUCACCCAUGCUGAAGGAUAUUCAGCAAAUGAAAGCAGCU
rnacentral:lncRNA from 1 species